CUUUAGGUGGCUGAAUCAAAAGCAAUGGUCUCUUAAACCAAUUCAUAGUAUUAAUACUCCUAACGA
rnacentral:tRNA from 1 species